UCCACUGAAUGGUCAGAAAGUCUAAGAAAAGGGGGAAUCUGAUGGCCACAACACCGAAGUGUCAAGUGGCAGUCACAGCCAUGGAAAAUCAAAGCCCCUGCCCCUUUUUUAUACGCAUCACAAUGGAUGUAAAAAAAGGUGGGGCUUCAGUCACAUGGUUGUAGCCACCAUCUUGACUCAUUUUGUCCCUUCCUUGCAGACAUCCCUGCCACAACAAAAUAUUUGGGGGGCUGUACGUUGCCCAUCUCUAUUUAAUAAUACAUUUUGAGAUCUUUAGACUACGAUCAGUUUACGAUAUAAUGUAGAUAAUCCAGGCUGCCAAUAAUUCUUUGGGAGUUUAGUAUUCCAGCCUCUCAUCUGAUUAGCCCUGUAUCUGCUGGGAUGUAGACCAUCCAGAGCUCAGGGAGGAAUGGGUGGACAGAAAGGGAAAGAAAAAUUAAUUUUGGGUAUUACAGCUUCUAUUGCAAGACUUUAUCUUAUUUUUUUUUCUCAUGAUCAUUUUCAUUUUGGAGGUGGAUCAGUUGCCUUUGGAAGACCUCUACAGCGUACUGGGCGAAAGCCAGUCCCUGCAUUGGGAUGUCCUCCUCCAGCACCCAAGAUGGCUCAAGAACCAGCACCUUCCAACGCUAAGGAGGAAGAGUCUCCUCUUUUGAAGUUGGUAUCCCUGCAGAAUGCAGAUGGCUCCUGGCCUCAUGGGUCUGCCCUAGCCACCCUACUAGGCCUGAGUGAGGCUGAGAUCUCAGACAAAGCACCAGCCCAUGUGGCCCCAAACAUAUGGGCCACGGUGCUGGCUAUCCUUGGGCUUCAUAGGAAUGCUGCAGAGCAGAAAGAUGAGUGGGAACUGCUGGAAGGAAAAGCUGUCCAUUGGCUCCAAUUAAA